AGUGAACGCUGGCGGUAGGCCUAACACAUGCAAGUCGAACGGCAGCACAGUAAGGGCUUGCUCUUACGGGUGGCGAGUGGCGGACGGGUGAGGAAUACAUCGGAAUCUACUUUUUCGUGGGGGAUAACGUAGGGAAACUUACGCUAAUACCGCAUACGACCUACGGGUGAAAGCAGGGGAUCUUCGGACCUUGCGCGAUUGAAUGAGCCGAUGUCGGAUUAGCUAGUUGGCGGGGUAAAGGCCCACCAAGGCGACGAUCCGUAGCUGGUCUGAGAGGAUGAUCAGCCACACUGGAACUGAGACACGGUCCAGACACCUACGGGAGGCAGCAGUGGGGAAUAUUGGACAAUGGGCGCAAGCCUGAUCCAGCCAUACCGCGUGGGUGAAGAAGGCCUUCGGGUUGUAAAGCCCUUUUGUUGGGAAAGAAAAGCAGCAGGUUAAUACCCCGCUGUUCUGACGGUACCCAAAGAAUAAGCACCGGCUAACUUCGUG
rnacentral:rRNA from 1 species